rnacentral:lncRNA from 1 species
ACCGCCAGAACCAGAAAUGCUGCGCCCCUGGGCUGGUGCCUUUCGGCUGGGAUCCGGGACUGGACAAAGGGAAGAGGGAGCUGUCCCCCGGAGCCACCCGACUACACUGUGGAAGCAAAGCGACGACUCUGCCCUAAGAGAAAUACUUUGGAAGCCCGGGUACCUCUCCCCACCCGCAGAGAUGGAGGCUAACUCCUAAUUAGGCCACCUUCCUGAUAGGCACUGCUUGGCCAGCGAUCGGUAAGGCGUUUAAGUCACGGAGUCGAAGCCAAGGCUCCAGUCUAGUGGGAAGGGCCGCGGGGGAACGGACGGCGGGGCCGAGGCGGCACGGACCGAGCGGACUGUCCAGGGCGUGGUGUAAAAGCCCGGGGGCGCUGACACUUGCUCUGGGAACCUCUUGCAGCCAGGAAAUCUACCCCACUUCAGGGCUGGGUGUCACCCUACGGUGGAGCGCCCUGUGCCACUCACGUGGGCUAGGAACUCAUCAGGGAGGUCGAGCCUUGAGUCUGGGAGAUGUCCCGAGACGCCCAAGGGGACAGCUGCAUUGUCCGGGCCCAGCCUAAGACCUCCUCUUCUCCCUUGAGGCCAGGCGGGACUGGAGACUGAGAAGUCUCCGGGACUUCUCAGGGGUCCACCAAGCCCCUGCGCCUGGAGCUGCCAUACGAUCCCGGUCCUGAGACAGGUGCGAUUCUCUUUGGAAACUACAGGGAGCAGAGCCUGCCCUUGAAGUCUCAGUGCCCCAGGACUGCUCUUGCCUCCUUAAUGCAGAGUGGCACCAACAGCUUCCCGAGCAGGCGGAUAACAGACGCUCCCCCAGUUCUCUGCAGCAGAAGCCUCUCUAUCCUAGGUCUGGAGUCCUGCCCGUGGGCCCAGCGAAAGACCUUCAGGCCUGGGAGGCCUCUAUGAAGGCGGCCUCUGCAAACAGACGAUGCAGAGGCCGAGGGUCGCUGCGCAGGGGUGAGGUGCCUAGCCCUUGGAGCUAGCCCAUCAACGCGGUUCCACUGGGAGCUUCCAUCCCAUCUCCAGAUGAAGACCAGGCUGUCCUUGCCUAGAAGAUAGGUUUAAUACCUCCUGCUGACAGUUCCAGUGGUCUUGAAAUCCCAGUUCUUGAGUCCCUAUUAUCUGUUAAACCAAAGACUCAGGAACUGCUGGCCAAACCCCUUGGCCUCCAAAUACUUAGGAAACUUCUUUCUCAGCCAGGGGGUCACAGGGAGAAGAAAGCCGGAUCCUGGCGACCUUGUAUCGAGAUUAAAGACAUUUUAGAAAACAUCACUUGAUUUGGUGGGGGUUUUGUUUUGUUUUUGUUCCUCCCCCCCACACACCCCCCCCCCCGCUUGGCAAAUGCUGUGAAGUUUCGUCCUAAAACCGCCUUAUUUGUAAGAUCCUGCUCAUUAUUUUUGGCUAUCGCUAUGAAAUCUGUGGAGAAACGAAAAGUGGCUCUAGAUUCAGUUAAACUUUGACUCCGAGAAGGCAAAUUGGCCCCUCAACAGCUGGUUCUCUCAGUUUUCCUCGAGGGAAAGAAAUAUGGUUAGCUCCCCACUAAUGAUCGCUCUAAAAAUGAUUGCCAAGAAAACUAAGCAAUAUCCAGCUUUCUCGCCUUCCCCCGCGUGUCCCGCUCUUAGCCAGACUGAUCGGAGAAUGGCGGAGAAGGGCAGACUGCAAUUUCUUGUUAGACACAUCUGGAAUACGCACAUUCUGGAUCGGGUGCCAGGGAUUUUACAAAGAGUUUAUGGCUAUGACAGAAAACUGUCCUUUUAACGAGUUUACAAGCAGUAAUCACGGGGGCUUUUACAGGACCGGCCGUCUUAGCUGCUAGCCAGACCUGCAGACUUUUCCAAGAUCCACCAACCAAGCGAGCAGGAAGUGGGCCGGCGCGCCCUGGGAUACAGAACUUUCACGACUCUAAAAUUAUGCCAAGCGGAGCUGCAAGAGUGGGGGGUAGUCGGAGUAGGAAGCGAGGGCAUGUAAGAAAUUAAAGUAAUUGGCCCUUCCUUAUUUUCCAGAGAGAUUUCCGCGGUCUCUUUUGAAGCCUGUUAGGGUCACUGAAAGCUAUCUUUGUGCCGGGUGUUUGUUUUGGGGAGUGAAUGUGAAGAAUGUGUGGAGAUUCCCUGAGAGAGCCCCUCCUGCAGAGGGUGGCAUUUCUCCGUGGCCCAAGACGUGGAGAAUAAACACCCUAGUGACUUAAAUAAACACCGACUUAAUGAUCCAAAACACUAACAAGGGAGAAUGGGACCCGGAGCUCCCAGACCAAAUGAUGGUCUCUGUGUGCAUAUCUGUCCAUCACCAAGGGAAAAUGACUUUAUAAGUAAAAGUGACUAUAUUUAAAAGCACAAUGACCAUUUCUCUUCUGAACUCAAAACAAUCCGAC